rnacentral:misc_RNA from 1 species
AUUUAAACAAAAAAAAAAGCUCAAUUUAUUAAUGGUAAUUUUUUUUUCCAUUUUUAGAUUUGGUAAAUGAUCUGCUUUAGUUGAACUUUUGACCUUUAGUCCUUGCUCUUUUCUGGUUUAUUGCUGACUGCAUUUUAUAUCAAAGAAACAUAGGCAUCAAUUCUUCAAUUUUGGAAUAAAAUGCAAAAAUGUGGUUGAUUGUUCUUUUCCCUGAUUUGUCCGAAGCAGUGAAUGAUCGCUUCUGCACAAAUA